rnacentral:rRNA from 1 species
UAGUCCACGCCGUAAACGAUGUCAACUAGCCGUCGGAUUCAUUUAAGAAUUUGGUGGCGCAGCUAACGCGAUAAGUUGACCGCCUGGGGAGUACGGCCGCAAGGUUAAAACUCAAAGGAAUUGACGGGGCCCGCACAAGCGGUGGAGCAUGUGGUUUAAUUCGAUGCAACGCGAAGAACCUUACCAGCCCUUGACAUCCUCGGAACUUUCUAGAGAUAGAUUGGUGCCUUCGGGAACCGAGUGACAGGUGCUGCAUGGCUGUCGUCAGCUCGUGUCGUGAGAUGUUGGGUUAAGUCCCGUAACGAGCGCAACCCUUGUCCUUAGUUGCCAGCAUUUCGGAUGGGAACUCUAAGGAGACUGCCGGUGACAAACCGGGAGGAAGGUGGGGACGACGUCAAGUCAUCAUGGCCCUUACGACCUGGGGCUACACACGUGCUACAAUGGGGGGUACAAAGGGGUUGCCAAGCCGCGAGGGUGGAGCUAAUCCCAUAAAACCCUCUCGUAGUCCGGGAUUGGGAGUCUGCAACUCGACU